CAGGGAUUAGUCUAAAAUGGUUAAGAUACUAAUUUUGGGGAUUAGUGAUGAAUAUUUAUUUAUCUCUGA
rnacentral:tRNA from 1 species